GUAAACGAUGAGUGCUAGGUGUUGGGGGUUUCCGCCCUCUGUGCCGAAGGUAACCCAAUAAGCACUCCGCCUGGGGAGUACGGCCGCAAGGCUGAAACUCAAAGGAAUUGACGGGGGCCCGCACAAGCGGUGGAGCAUGUGGUUUAAUUCGAAGCAACGCGAAGAACCUUACCAGGUCUUGACAUCCCGCUGAUCGGUGUAGAGAUAUGCCUUUCCUUCGGGACAGCGGUGACAGGUGGUGCAUGGUUGUCGUCAGCUCGUGUCGUGAGAUGUUGGGUUCAGUCCCGCAACGAGCGCAACCCUUGUCGUCAGUUGCCAGCACGUAAAGGUGGGCACUCUGGCGAGACGGCCGGUGAAAGCCGGAGGAAGGUGGGGAUGACGUCAAAUCAUCAUGCCCCUUAUGACCUGGGCUACACACGUGCUACAAUGGCCGGUACAACGGGUAGCGAACCCGCGAGGGGGAGCCAAUCCAAAAAACCGGUCUCAGUUCGGAUCGCAGGCUGCAACUCGCCUGCGUGAAGCUGGAAUCGCUAGUAAUCGCGGAUCAGCAUGCCGCGGUGAAUCCGUUCCCGGGCCUUGUACACACCGCCCGUCACACCACGAGAGUCUGCAACACCCGAAGUCGGUGAGGUAACCUUCGGGAACCAGCCGCCGAAGGUGGGGCAGAUGAUUGGGGGAAGUCGUAACAAGGUAACC
rnacentral:rRNA from 1 species